rnacentral:tRNA from 2 species
AGGGGAUUGGUGUAACGGUAGCACGACUGACUCUGACUCAGUUAGUCUAGGUUCGAAUCCUAGAUCCCCUG